UCUAAAGCAAAAUAAUACUUCAAAAAAAAAUAAAUUUGACGGUAUUAACAUUUUCAAAGGAAUUUGUUUCUAUAAUCGAUAAUACACGAUAAACCUUACUUAAUAAUUUUCUGUAUACCACCGUAUUGAAAUUAUUUUAUAUCAAUUUCAUAAUAAAUAUUCUUAUUAAAUCAGGUCAAGGUGCAAUUUUAUUAAGAUGAAAUGAAUUACAUUAAUAAUAUUUAAAUAUAAAAAUUGAAAAAUUUUUAAAAAUAGAAUUUGUCAGUAAAAUUUUAUAAUAAAGAUUAUUUGAUAAUUUUAAUUAAUAUGU
rnacentral:rRNA from 1 species